GUCGCUUUGGCCAAGUAGUUAAGGCGCUUGCCUGCGAAGCAAGUGGGGUAUCCCCGCAUGAGUUCGAAUCUCAUACGCGACG